GCAGAGAUUCCAGCGUGCGGCGAACUAUAUUGCUGCCGGCAAGCUCCUUAUACAUUCUUUUGAUAUGAUCUUUUCAUAUUAUGUGCUGAUAUCCCGAUAUAGCUAUGAUAUUCCUGCAGGACAAUGCAUGCCUAAAGCGAGAGUUGAAAUUUGACGAUAUUAAACCGAGAUUAUUAGGCCAUUGGGGAACCUGCCCAGGGCUGACCUUCGUCUAUUCCCACCUGAAUUACUUGAUUUGCAAGCAUGACCUUGACAUGAUAUAUGUCGUGGGACCGGGUCAUGGCGCACCAGGAAUCCUAGCUGCGCUCUGGAUGGAAGGUUCUCUGGAGAAAUUCUAUCCAGGAUAUAGUCGAGACACGAAAGGCCUUACGAAGCUGAUCACUACGUUCAGUACCACGGGUGGAUUUCCAAGUCAUAUCAACGCCGAAACUCCAGGUGCAAUCCACGAAGGCGGCGAAUUGGGAUAUGCUUUAUCCGUUUCGUUUGGGGCGGUCAUGGACAAGUCGGAUUUGAUAGUCACAUGCAUUAUCGGUGAUGGCGAAGCAGAAUCUGGGCCGACAGCAGCGUCCUGGCACGGAUUCAAAUAUAUUGACCCUGCAG
rnacentral:sRNA from 1 species